rnacentral:rRNA from 1 species
CGGCUUCUGGACUGACACUGACACUGAGGUGCGAAGCGUGGGUAGCAAACAGGAUUAGAUACCCUGGUAGUCCACGCCGUAAACGAUGUCGACCAGCCGUUGGGUGCCUAGCGCACUUUGUGGCGAAGUUAACGCGAUAAGUCGACCGCCUGGGGAGUACGGCCGCAAGGUUAAAACUCAAAUGAAUUGACGGGGGCCCGCACAAGCGGUGGAGCAUGUGGUUUAAUUCGAUGCAACGCGAAGAACCUUACCUACUCUUGACAUCCUGCGAACUUGUGAGAGAUCACUUGGUGCCUUCGGGAACG